UACGUAGGGGGCAAGCGUUGUCCGGAAUCAUUGGGGGUAAAGCGCGUGUAGGCGGCUCGGGGAGUCUGGGGUGAAAUCUUUCGGCUCAACCGGAAGCGGUCACUGGAUACUCUCGGGCUUGAGUCCGGAAGAGGAGAGUGGAAUUCCUGGUGUAGCGGUGGAAUGCGCAGAUAUCAGGAGGAACACCUAUGGCGAAGGCAGCUCGCUGGGACGUUACUGACGCUGAGACGCGAAAGCGUGGGGAGCAAACAGG
rnacentral:rRNA from 1 species